UACGUAGGUGGCAAGCGUUGUCCGGAUUUACUGGGCGUAAAGAGCGCGUAGGCGGCCAGCACAAGUCAGUUGUGAAAUCUCCGGGCUUAACUCGGAAAGGUCAACUGAUACUGUGCGGCUAGAGUGCAGAAGGGGCAACUGGAAUUCUCGGUGUAGCGGUGAAAUGCGUAGAUAUCGAGAGGAACACCUGCGGCGAAGGCGGGUUGCUGGGCUGACACUGACGCUGAUGCGCGAAAGCCAGGGGAGCGAACGGG
rnacentral:rRNA from 1 species